rnacentral:rRNA from 1 species
CAGCCGCCGCGGGAAUACAGAGGGUGCAAGCGUUAAUCGGAAUUACUGGGCGUAAAGCGCGCGUAGGUGGUUUGUUAAGUUGGAUGUGAAAGCCCCGGGCUCAACCUGGGAACUGCAUCCAAAACUGGCAAGCUAGAGUACGGUAGAGGGUGGUGGAAUUUCCUGUGUAGCGGUGAAAUGCGUAGAUAUAGGAAGGAACACCAGUGGCGAAGGCGACCACCUGGACUGAUACUGACACUGAGGUGCGAAAGCGUGGGGAGCAAACAGGAUUAGAGACCCCCGUAGUCCCUGUCUCUUAUAC